GACGAACGCUGGCGGCGUGCCUAAUACAUGCAAGUUGAGCGCUGAAGGUUGGUACUUGUACCAACUGGAUGAGCAGCGAACGGGUGAGUAACGCGUGGGGAAUCUGCCUUUGAGCGGGGGACAACAUUUGGAAACGAAUGCUAAUACCGCAUAAAAACUUUAAACACAAGUUUUAAGUUUGAAAGAUGCAAUUGCAUCACUCAAAGAUGAUCCCGCGUUGUAUUAGCUAGUUGGUGAGGUAAAGGCUCACCAAGGCGAUGAUACAUAGCCGACCUGAGAGGGUGAUCGGCCACAUUGGGACUGAGACACGGCCCAAACUCCUACGGGAGGCAGCAGUAGGGAAUCUUCGGCAAUGGACGAAAGUCUGACCGAGCAGCGCCGCGUGAGUGAAGAAGGGUUUCGGAUCGUAAAACUCUGUUGGUAGAGAAGAACGUUGGUGAGAGUGGAAAGCUCAUCAAGUGACGGUAACUACCCAGAAAGGGACGGCUAACUACGUG
rnacentral:rRNA from 1 species